rnacentral:rRNA from 1 species
UGAGUAAUGUCUGGGAAACUGCCCGAUGGAGGGGGAUAACUACUGGAAACGGUAGCUAAUACCGCAUAACGUCGCAAGACCAAAGUGGGGGACCUCCGGGCCUCACACCAUCGGAUGUGCCCAGAUGGGAUUAGCUUGUAGGCGGGGUAACGGCCCACCUAGGCGACGAUCCCUAGCUGGUCUGAGAGGAUGACCAGCCACACUGGAACUGAGACACGGUCCAGACUCCUACGGGAGGCAGCAGUGGGGAAUAUUGCACAAUGGGCGCAAGCCUGAUGCAGCCAUGCCGCGUGUAUGAAGAAGGCCUUCGGGUUGUAAAGUACUUUCAGCGGGGAGGAAGGUGCUGAGGUUAAUAACCUCAUCAAUUGACGUUACCCGCAGAAGAAGCACCGGCUAACUCCGUGCCAGCAGCCGCGGUAAUACGGAGGGUGCAAGCGUUAAUCGGAAUUACUGGGCGUAAAGCGCACGCAGGCGGUCUGUUAAGUCAGAUGUGAAAUCCCCGGGCUUAACCUGGGAACUGCAUUUGAAACUGGCAGGCUUGAGUCUCGUAGAGGGGGGUAGAAUUCCAGGUGUAGCGGUGAAAUGCGUAAAGAUCUGGAGGAAUACCGGGUGGGCGAAGGCGGCCCCCUGGACGAAGACUGACGCUCAGGUGCGAAAAGCGUGGGGAGCAAACAGGGAUUAGAUACCCCUGGUAGUCCACCCCCUAAACGAUGUCGACUUUGAGGUUGUUCCCUUGAGGAGUGGCUUUCCGGAGCUA